rnacentral:lncRNA from 1 species
CGCUAACUUAGCUUCUCUCACAGCUUUCUUCGCCUCUAGCUUUUCAGGAUUGGAAUUUGAAGACCAAUCCCAAACCAAAAUUUCUCAAUUUUUGUAAUUCCUGAAAUGUUUUCGGUACUUCGAGAUGGAUCGGGAUUGGAUUUUCAGUUUUGAAAUUUGAGAUUCUUAGGCUAUGGAUAGAAUUUGGGCUGACUACCUAAAAUUUUGUUCCCCAUUUUUAUAUCAAUUGAUAUUUAAGAAUUUGGGCUGACUGCCUAAAUUUUUGUUCCCCAACUUCAUAUCAAUUGAUAUUUAAGCUUUUUAUCUCAUACCAAUUUGAAAUUUCAUAACAAUUGAAAUACCAAUUCAUUCAUAUUAAUCAAAUUGAUGUUCCAAAGCUCCAAACUACAUAAUUUCAUACUUCUAUUUCUAAUAUAGUCUACUAUCAAACUACUUAAAUUCAAUAUUCAACAUGCAUGCAACCAAAAUAAAUAUAUAUAUUCUUUCGGUUCAGUUAGAGAUUCCCAAACCAUUGAUAUAUAAUCCCAAUUCCCAUACCGAAAGGUUCGGCAAUGGUUUGGUAUAGAUCCCAAAAAUUUAGUUAUUAUCAAUUUGAUAAUUUUUCGUAUGGGACUGGGAUUUUUUUUUGUUUGGUUUGGAAUUUUCGGAAAAAAAUUUCCAAACCCAAAAAGAUGUAGAUAUAGAUAAUAUUUUUUUAGAUAAAUCACAUUUUACCCCCUCAAGUUUGAGAGAUAUUAUGAUCUCAUAUAUCAUUUUUAAAACAUUUCAUUCUCAUACAUAAACUUUAUUUUAGUUAUAAUUUCAUACAACCGUUACAUUUUAUGUAAACUUUGCGGCUAAAUUUGUACCAUGUGGAUAAAAAAAAUCAAAAAACUAAUUUUCAAUAUAUUAAUUAAUUAAAAAAAUAUCUGAGUCUUCUUCUUCUUCGUUUUUAGAAAGAGAGUUACUAGACCCACCAUAUUGUUUUAUUUUCCUACCCAAAUUAUAAUCUCACCCACCUUAAAAAGUUAUAAAAUUCAAAUGUUAUUUCCACAUCCACUAUUAUUCCCAAAAUAACCUUUAAUAUAUACAUACAUAUGAAAUUAUAAAAUUGUCCCUUAAAAAAUAUAACAAAUAAUAUGUAAAUGAAAACUACUAAGGUCUGCAAAUUCAUAUGAAAACUACAGAUGUAUCCAAAUUCAAAAGAAUUCGACAAGGAGAAAUUCAAAAAUACGAUGGACAAAUUCAAAUGAUCUAUACACAAAUUAUUAUUCUACAUUUUCAAUGGAAACAUAAUCUUCUAACUCUUCCGUAAAAACAUCAUUUUCCACCUAUUCAAUGAAAAAAUCAUCUUCUAAGUCCAUUGAUACUUUUUUUAUUUUCUCUGAAUUAAAGGAGAUGAAAAUAUGAAUUUGGAUUUUAAGGUAGACAAAUCGAUCUUCCACAUCCGACCUUUUUUUUUUAAAAUUAAACAAAAUAAGAUAAUUAAUACCCUUAUCAUUUUUUUUUGACAAAUAAACAAAUUUGUAAUUAACAAAUUCAUUAAAAGAUGGAUGAGAAUUACUCUUCAGAAAUUCUGAGGCAGGGGACGGUUCCCACCCGUCUUCUACCUCAUCUUCUCCAAAAUUAUGUUCGAUAUAUACCAACGGCAAUUAAUUUUGCAGCUCGAAAGCUCCUUCUUCCCCAAUCCAUCCGUCUUUCCCCCCCUUCCUUCCUUCCUUCCUUAACCACAACCCACUUCCAGUCUCUCAAUCCGAGAUCCAUCUCUUAGUGUUGAUAAAAUUCCCAUCCCCCCUUCAAUUAAUUAAAGAAAAGUGCAUCGGAGGCCAUCUUCGCCGCCUCUCAGAUGGAUUGACUGUGGGUGCGCCAGGCGAGUAGUUCAACGGCAUUGCCAGCUCGAUACGGGUCUCGGACGGGAACAGCAAUGAUUUAGUGGGUUUCAAUGGUAGGUUUCUGGGUUCAUGCAGAUCCGAUUUCAGGCAACAACAGGCGGCUCGGCUUCAGACAGCAGUUUCUGGUAUUUCUGCGAUUUGAGAAAAAGCAGAUCUCGCGAGUUUCGAUGGUGGUUGUAGAGGGAAGCAAUGGGUUCAAUCUUCAAGUUGCAGCGGCGGUUCGAUCUCCAGGACGGCUUCGGUUGGUGAGGGGUUGAUAGAUCAGUUCGAUGCGUGCGGUAGUUUGACAACAGAUUGUGGCGCGGUGCAGGAAUACAAUGCAGCAGGCGUGCGAGACAAAAUGAGUACGAGUCCUUGUCGAAGUUCGAACAGCUACUUCGGCACCGAUUUCAGAUUGAAUCUUCUAGUACACGGUUAAUUAGUCGGGGUAUGUUGUUCUUGUUUUAGAUUUUUAGAGAGAGAAAAUUAUGGGAUCUGGAAAUGGGGUUUUUUUAGUUGGGGAUUUCGAUUUGGAUGCCUUGUGGUUAAUAAAGAAGAAAAAUGUAUGAACUCAAUGGAAUUCAAUGGUGCGGAGCAAAUGAAUCGUUGGUGAAUACUGGGACAAGGGAUGAGGGAAAACCAAGCAAGGAAGCAGAGAGAUUAAAAAUAAAAAUAAACAUAAAAAUUGAUUUUCUAUUAAUUAAUCUUUUUUUAUUUGUUUUUUAUUCACAUGCUGCAAAGUUGGUAGCCAUGUAGAUCUUAUGUUUGUCACAUAAUUAUUUAACGAAUAACUCGACAAAUUUCAAUAACGGAUAUAUGAAAUUAAAAUGAAAUAAAAAUAAAUGUAUGAUUAAUGAAAUGUUUUAAAAAUAUUGUAUGAGAUUGUAAUAUUCUCGAUCUUAAUUUAUCAAUAACUGAAAUAGAUGACUUGUACACGUGGUAAAAGUGGUAAAAGUGCAUUUUUCAAUGUACAAUAUAUGGUUAUAAAUUUACUAAACCAAAAGUAAUUAGCGAGGGUGAAACUGAAUCAUAGGGAAUUGAUCAGAGGACGGAGCCUUCGUGAAUGGUUGACAAUCUGAGCCUAAAAGAACGAGUGGCCAACUUUGCCUUUCUCGAUGUAUAUCUCCGCAAUUUCCUAACCGACGAUGACCCACCGCCGCGGCCGCUACUACUCAUCAUCUUCUGGCCUUUGUACGCUAAUGACCCUCCACCUCCAAUCGUUAAUCCAUUCAUGCUCAAAUCACCACCGUCGCCCUCGACCGACAAGUUUGCAUAUUUAUUAUUAUUCAUCUCAAUCACCGGAGAAAUGCGGGCCUUGUUGUAAUUACGGUAUCCGCUUCCCUUAUUUUCCUUUUUGUUUCCCUUUUCAUUCUUGGAGGAGGAAGAAGAAGAAGAAGCAUUGGUAUUAAUUUUCUGGAGGGCGAGGCUGGCUCUGACUGCGAGGGCCGCCAUAUCGGUGGCACUGAGGCGGUGUUGAAGCUUGG